CUUUCCUACUCUUCAUUUUCCUCAAUGUAGGCAACAGAAAUUUCUUCAAAUUUAAGGCUUUAGACAUGGUGAAAUCAUCCAUAUUCAUGACAGCAUCAAAGCUUCGAAAGAACAGAAACCUUGAUCAGAAAGAUGAUGAAAGUUUGAUUGAUCCAAUGGUGAAAAGUGGCCUUCAACUGGCUUCGGUUGCAUGUUCAUCUUAAUUUGGUGCUAUCCUAGCUGAGCUUUUUUAUUACUCUGGCCCUUCAUUUUUUUUUUAUAAUUUUUUUGACUUGUUGCCUUUUUGUUUUCCUUGGAUGUUUCGUGUUCUUGACCUUGUAAGACCUUUUCUUGACCUUGUAAGACCCCUUCUACUGUUUUCUACCAUUGUUUUUCGUUUUGUUUCAAAUCUUAUACUAGAGUUUCCCCGUGUAAGAUUCCACCAUUUUCCUUCUGCACUCUCACCCAACUCAUGUUCUCCUUCCUUGUCUAUCCCUCCUGAGCUAUUACAUAAUACGAAGUGUCUCGUCCCAGAAAUCGACCUAGAGAAGAUCAAGAAAUUCUCUGAAGAUCAUGUAAUUAGCGCUGGUGAUCUGAAACUCAAUUUGUCCAUUGAUGUAAAAAUAUGACUAAAGAGAAUUUACUCAAGUUAGGUAUUGAUUAUAUAUAAACUUAUAAUUUGAUAUUA